AACGAACGCUGGCGGCAGGCUUAACACAUGCAAGUCGAGCGCCCCGCAAGGGGAGCGGCAGACGGGUGAGUAACGCGUGGGAAUCUACCCAGCUCUACGGAACAACUCCGGGAAACUGGAGCUAAUACCGUAUACGUCCUUCGGGAGAAAGAUUUAUCGGAGUUGGAUGAGCCCGCGUUGGAUUAGCUAGUUGGUGGGGUAAUGGCCUACCAAGGCGACGAUCCAUAGCUGGUCUGAGAGGAUGAUCAGCCACACUGGGACUGAGACACGGCCCAGACUCCUACGGGAGGCAGCAGUGGGGAAUAUUGGACAAUGGGCGCAAGCCUGAUCCAGCCAUGCCGCGUGAGUGAUGAAGGCCCUAGGGUUGUAAAGCUCUUUCACCGGUGAAGAUAAUGUCGGUAACCGGAGAAGAAGCCCCGGCCAACUUCGUGCCGCCGCUGUAAAAC
rnacentral:rRNA from 1 species